rnacentral:rRNA from 1 species
GGUCGGUUUGGCCGGAUUUCACACAGGUGUUGCAUGGCUGUCGUCAGCUCGUGUCGUGAGAUGUUGGGUUAAGUCCCGCAACGAGCGCAACCCUCAUCCUUAGUUACCACCAGGUAAUGCUGGGGACUUUGAGGAAACUGCCAGUGAUAAACUGGAGGAAGGUGGGGAUGAUGUCAAGUCAUCAUGGCCCUUAUGGAGUGGGCUACACACGUGCUACAGUAGUGGCUACAAUGGGCUGCAAAGUCGCGAGGCUAAGCCAACCCCUUAAAAGCCAUCUCAGUUCGGAUUGUACUCUGCAACUCGAGUGCAUGAAGUUGGAAUCGCUAGUAAUCGUGGAUCAGCACGCCACGGUGAAUACGUUCUCGGGUCUUGUACACACUGCCCGUCACGCCAUGGUAAUUGGUUUCACUCGAAGCU